UUCGUAGGCGGUGCGGCAAGUCGGGAGUGAAAUCUCUGGGCUUAACUCGGAGGCUGCUUCCGAAACUGCCGUGCUCGAGUGCGGGAGAGGCCAGUGGAAUUGCAGGUGUAGCGGUGAAAUGCGUAGAUAUCUGCAGGAACACCCGUGGCGAAGGCGGCUGGCUGGACCGCAAUUGACGCUGAGGAACGAAGGCUAGGGGAGCAAACAGGAUUAGAUACCCUGGUAGUCCUAGCCCUAAACCAUCAGGACUUGGGGUGCAUCCCGUUGGGGGUGCGUCCCGUAGCUAACGCGUUAAGUCCUGCGCCUGGGGAGUACGGUCGCAAGGCUGAA
rnacentral:rRNA from 1 species